rnacentral:rRNA from 1 species
UACGAAGGGGGCUAGCGUUGUUCGGAAUUAUGCGUGGGCGUAAAGCGCUCGCAGGCGGAUCGAAUAAGUCAGGGGGUGAAAUCCCGGGGCUCAACCCUCGGAAUUGCCUUUGAUGACUGUCAAUCUCGAAGUCCGGGGAGAGGUGAGUGGGAAAUUCCUAGUGUAGAGGUGAAAAUUCGUAGAUAUUAGGAAGAACACCAGUGGCGAAGGCGGCUCACUGGCCCGGAACUGACGCUCAUGGAGCGAAAGCGAUGGGAGCA